rnacentral:rRNA from 1 species
UGCGCAGGCGGUAUAUUAAGUCAGCUGUUAAAGACCUCAGCCUAACUGGGGAUCGGCGGUCGAUACUGAUAUGCUAGAGGGUGGAAGAGAGAAGUGGAAUUCUUGGAGUAGCGGUAAAAUAGCGUAGAUCUCAAGAGGAACACCGAUGGCGAAGGCAGCUUCUUGGUCCACAUCUGACGCUCAUGCACGAAAGCGUGGGGAGCAAACA